AAUCUUUAGUGUGGGCAAAACGUCAUUGAUCAAUCGGUAUCCUUGACAGUUUCCCGCGGGGCGCUAGAUUCAAUUCCUUCUGCCAGCUUACUUGCUUGUACAGGCAAUGUGGAACCGAAGGAGGUCAAUUUUGGUAAAUAUUGCUGAACUGUUCCAUUAGAUACUUAAGGGUCUAUCUAUUAUUAGUUUUCUUUGUUGUGGAUUUCAGUGAGAUGUUCAAAAUCCUUUCACCUCUGCACAUCUUGAGCAGCAAUUUAAGGUUCUUCAUUUGUGCUUGUUAUAUAUUUCGAUAUAGGUGACUCAUAAAGUGUAAUUAUUCCCUUGUUGGAGUGGUCUAUCAUGAUCUCUGUUUCAAAGUGUUGAGGACGUGAGUUGCCGGUAUACUCUGUAUAUAAUAGUUUUGCUGGUUGGCAUGGGGACAGUGUUCAAUCUCUGUUUAGUGGUUUCUUGACCUCACCAUUAGAUAUGUGCUCAAGAAGUUCCACGAGCAGUAUGUGGCCACUUAUGGUGCUCUUUUUGUUACCAAGGAAAUUCUAAUUGGUGACGCACCUGUGACCUUACAGAUCUGGGAUACUGCAGGACAGGACAGGUUUCAAAGUUUUUGUACUCCAUUCUAUAGAUUGGCCGACUGCUGCAUUUUGCUCUAUGAUGUCAAUGUUGGAAACUCAUUUGACACUCUUGAUUCCUGGCAUGAUGCACUUUUUAACCAGGAGUGAAAUUGUUAAAAGUGGUACCGCGAGUUUAUGUGGCUUCUGAAUCUUCUCUACUAAACAUGCGGACAUAUGUACCAGAUGAAUCCGCAGGAUAGACCACUAGAUCUCCCAAAACUUCCACUCAUUUUACUUGGGAACAAAGUUGACGUUGCCGGUGGCAAAAGGAGGGUGGUACGGUGGAGGAUAGUCAAUUAAGUUAUUUAUACAGCUAUGGCUUUUUUUUUCCCUCUCUUAAUCUUCUAUUUUGCUUGUUUCAUAUAUAUCAUGCAGGUUAGCAUUAAGAGAGCAGAAGAUUGGUGUGCAUCCAAUGGCAAUAUACCUUACUUUGAAACCUCCGCUAAAGUCAAUUUCAAUGUCGAUUCUGUUUUUGUCCAUGCUGCUCAAUUUGCUCUGAAUCCUGAUCUCGGCAUCACCCUUCGAGAACCCGCUUCAGACAGAGCAAGGAAGUAGAUGUGCUUGUUAGGUUGAGCUGCUGCAGAUUCAGGACUUCAUAGUGGCUUGAUCUGUUGAUUGAUCGGGAUCUCGCAUGAUUCGUUCAUGAAUUCAGGUCUUCAGCAAGAUCCGUAGGCAAAACGACCUGUCAGAAAAGAAAAGAGAAAGCGGUCGUUUUAGACGCAUUUUGAAGUCAACCAUUCUUGAAGCAGAGUACA